rnacentral:rRNA from 1 species
GUGCCAGCCGCCGCGGUAAUACGAAGGGACCUAGCGUAGUUCGGAAUUACUGGGCUUAAAGAGCACGUAGGUGGUUAAGAAAGUUGGUGGUGAAAUCCCAAGGCUUAACCUUGGAACUGCCACCAAAACUUUUUAACUAGAGUAUGAUUGAGGUAAGCGGAAUUUCUAGUGUAGAGGUGAAAUUCGUAGAUAUUAGAAAGAACACCAAUUGCGAAGGCAGCUUUCUGGGUCAUUACUGACACUGAGGUGCGAAAGCAUGGGUAGCGAAGAGGAUUAGAUACCCUCGUAGUCCAUGCCGUAAACGAUGUGUGCUAGACGUUGGGAAUUUAUUUUUCAGUGUCGCAGCUAAAGCGUUAAGCACACCGCCUGGGGAGUACGACCGCAAGGUUAAAACUCAAAUGAAUUGACGGGGACCCGCACAAGUAGUGGAGCAUGUGGUUUAAUUCGAAGAUACGCGCAGAACCUUACCAACACUUGACAUGUUCGUCGCGACUCUAAGAGAUUAGAGUUUUCGGUUCGGCCGGACGAAACACAGGUGCUGCAUGGCUGUCGUCAGCUCGUGUCGUGAGAUGUUGGGUUAAGUCCCGCAACGAGCGCAACCCUUACUUUUAGUUGCUACCAUUUAGUUGGGCACUCUAAAAGAACUGCCGGUGAUAAGCUGGAGGGAGGUGGGGAUGACGUCAAGUCCUCAUGGCCCUUAUGUGUUGGGCUACACACGUGCUACAAUGGUAUUUACAGUGGGAUGCAAAGAGGCAACUCCUAGCCAACCCUCAAAGAAUACCUCAGUUCGGAUUGUACUCUGCAACUCGAGUACAUGAAGCUGGAAUUACUAGUAAUCGCAGAUCAGCGCGCCGCGGUGAAUACGUUCCCGGGUCUUGCACACACCGCCCGUC